GACGCCGUCGUCUAGUGGUCAAGAUCUGGGCCCUUCAAGCCCGGGACAAGGGUUCAAAUCCCUUCGGCGUCACCA
rnacentral:tRNA from 1 species